rnacentral:rRNA from 1 species
ACGGGUGAGUAACGCGUGUGAACGUGCCUUUCGGUUCGGAAUAACUCAGGGAAACUUGAGCUAAUACCGGAUACGCCCUUAGGGGGAAAGAUUUAUUGCCGAAAGAUCGGCCCGCGUCCGAUUAGCUAGUUGGUGAGGUAAAGGCUCACCAAGGCGACGAUCGGUAGCUGGUCUGAGAGGAUGAUCAGCCACACUGGGACUGAGACACGGCCCAGACUCCUACGGGAGGCAGCAGUGGGGAAUAUUGGACAAUGGGCGCAAGCCUGAUCCAGCCAUGCCGCGUGAGUGAUGAAGGCCUUAGGGUUGUAAAGCUCUUUCGCCAGGGACGAUAAUGACGGUACCUGGAUAAGAAGCCCCGGCUAACUUCGUGCCAGCAGCCGCGGUAAUACGAAGGGGGCUAGCGUUGUUCGGAAUCACUGGGCGUAAAGCGCACGUAGGCGGAUUGUUAAGUCAGGGGUGAAAUCCCGAGGCUCAACCUCGGAACUGCCUUUGAUACUGGCGAUCUAGAGUCCGGGAGAGGUGAGUGGAACUGCGAGU